rnacentral:rRNA from 1 species
AUUGAACGCUGGCGGCAUGCCUUACACAUGCAAGUCGAACGGCAGCACGGGAGCAAUCCUGGUGGCGAGUGGCGAACGGGUGAGUAAAGUAUCGGAACGUGCCCAGUCGUGGGGGAUAACGUAGCGAAAGUUACGCUAAUACCGCAUACGAUCUAUGGAUGAAAGCGGGGGAUCGCAAGACCUCGCGCGAUUGGAGCGGCCGAUAUCAGAUUAGGUAGUUGGUGGGGUAAAGGCUCACCAAGCCGACGAUCUGUAGCUGGUCUGAGAGGACGACCAGCCACACUGGGACUGAGACACGGCCCCGACUCCUACGGGAGGCGGCAGUGGGGAAUUUUGGACAAUGGGCGAAAGCCUGAUCCAGCCAUGCCGCGUGCAGGAUGAAGGCCUUCGGGUUGUAAACUGCUUUUGUACGGAACGAAAAGGUUUGGCCUAAUAAGCUGAGCUCAUGACGGUACCGUAAGAAUAAGCACCGGCUAACUACGUGCCAGCCGCCGCGGUAA